UCCUAGUUAACCUAGGCAGUCUCAUUAGAGUUCCCGACCGAAUCGUUGGCAACUAAUGAUAAGGGUUGCGCUCGUUGCUGGACUUAACCAAACACCUCACGGCACGAGCUGACGACAGCCAUGCAGCACCUGUGUAGCGGCCCCGAAGGGCGUUUAUAUCUCUAUAAACUUCCACUACAUGUCAAGCCUGGGUAAGGUUCUUCGCGUUGCAUCGAAUUAAACCACAUGCUCCACUGCUUGUGCGGGUCCCCGUCAAUUCUUUUGAGUUUCAGCCUUGCGACUGUACUCCCCAGGCGGUAUACUUAUCGCGUUUGCUACGGCACAACCAGGGUUGAGUCCGGUUACACCAAGUAUACAUCGUUUACGGCAAGGACUAC
rnacentral:misc_RNA from 1 species